rnacentral:rRNA from 1 species
UGGGGAAUAUUGGACAAUGGGCGAAAGCCUGAUCCAGCCAUGCCGCGUGUGUGAAGAAGGCCUUUUGGUUGUAAAGCACUUUAAGUGGGGAGGAAAAGCUUAUGGUUAAUACCCAUAAGCCCUGACGUUACCCACAGAAUAAGCACCGGCUAACUCUGUGCCAGCAGCCGCGGUAAUACAGAGGGUGCAAGCGUUAAUCGGAAUUACUGGGCGUAAAGCGCGCGUAGGUGGUUAUUUAAGUCAGAUGUGAAAGCCCCGGGCUUAACCUGGGAACUGCAUCUGAUACUGGAUAACUAGAGUAGGUGAGAGGGGAGUAGAAUUCCAGGUGUAGCGGUGAAAUGCGUAGAGAUCUGGAGGAAUACCGAUGGCGAAGGCAGCUCCCUGGCAUCAUACUGACACUGAGGUGCGAAAGCGUGGGUAGCAAACAGGAUUAGAUACCCUGGUAGUCCACGCCGUAAACGAUGUCUACCAGUCGUUGGGUCUUUUAAAGACUUAGUGACGCAGUUAACGCAAUAAGUAAACCGCCUGGGGAGUACGGCCGCAAGGUUA